GGGAGGGAGGGAGUCAAGGUGGAGCUGCCAGAUGCAUACUGGAAGAAGCCCAGCAGUCUGAGAGGAAACCUCACUGGCUGGGCUUCUAAUCAACUCCUGACAGGCAAAAAGACAGCAAGCGAAGCUUUCCCAUUGCCUUCCACGUCAGGAAGAACUUCACUUACUAACUUCCUUCAGGAAGAGCAGGAGUAGUUUAGAAAUAAAGCGCCAGCUUGGGUUCUUGGCAUUUCCAGCCUCCUCAGCUCCAUCUCAACGAGGCAGAAGAACAAAAGAACCAUAACAUGAGGGGAAAGAAGGAGCAGGCUAACCAAACAGAAGCACCAAAUAUGAGCCAGCGUCUCCCUCUCAGCUCUUUUCCACCAUCUUUGCCCACAAAGGUUUAUCACACAGAGAGGCCAGACACAAAUUCUUGAGUUCAGCAUGGAAAGACUGCAAGUGCUGCCUGCAACCACUAGAGUCCACAGUGGCUGCAUGUAUUGAAUUUCAAGAGGCUGCAGGCAAUGAAGGAAAAAGAUAGACAAGCAACGCUUCCGUCACACACUUAUUCAGAAUUAAAUUCCACAAAGUUUAACACAGCCUGCUUUCUGUUUAUACAGUCCAAAUCUGUGUAUGCAAACUCUGAAGUAUGGCUAAAUUCCAAAAAAAAAAAAAACUUACUGCCAAUUAAUGUAUAGGACUGCACCUUCAGUGUUUUAGCUUGCAGCUGUGAUCCUGUACACACUUACAAAGAAUACAUCCUACUGAGCACAGCAGGGCCUACUUCUGAGUACACAUAUGUAGGCUGAGUGUACGCCAACCAGAAUGUUGAGUUGCAUUACAAGGGCCACCACUAUAUCCUCUUUUGCAUUAUCAGUAGUGGGACGUUUGCCUAAGUUGUGAGGCAGACAGACAACAAAAUGUAGUCCUCAUGUACAAAGUUAUGGACUGAACCACAACCUACCUGCAAGAACAACAGAUAGUAACUUGGAAGUUGGCAAAACACAUCAGAUUCCCGCCAACUAAAGCAGAGUGACCCAUGAGCUUUUGUCUCUGAGCUCUCUUCUCUUUUACAGGGACUUUUCUGUCAUCCACAACAAAAGCAGGUAUCUUGCAGGGACAAAGCAGAUCCCUUUUCUUCCCCAAGUAUGUAAUAAGGUAUCUGAAAAAUGCUUAAAAUCUUCCUAUUGAAUUUAACUUUAUAAAGAUAACACAAAAGGUCACACAAAUAUAUGAGCUUGCAAGACUUCCAAAGCGUUCAUCUGAUAAGAUGGUACAAAGCUAGUUGAGCAUGGUGGACAGGAGUGGGAUUUCUUAAAAGGGUAAUUUUAUAUUGAAUUAAUGGUAUCUGCAUGCUCAGGCUAAGAUGAAAUGGUGAUGGAACCACUACAUGUUCAACAUCCAGUUAGCACUUCCACC